rnacentral:rRNA from 1 species
AGAGUUUGAUCAUGGCUCAGAAUCAACGCUGGCGGCGUGCCUAACACAUGCAAGUCGAACGCGAAAGGGGCUUCGGCCCUGAGUAGAGUGGCGAACGGGUGAGUAACACGUGGGUGAUCUACCUUCGAGUGGGGGAUAACGUCCCGAAAGGGACGCUAAUACCGCAUGACGUUCUGGGUUUGAAGACCUGGAAACCAAAGCUGGGGACCGCAAGGCCUGGCGCUAGAAGAGGAGCCCGCGCCUGAUUAGCUAGUUGGCGGGGUAAUGGCCCACCAAGGCGACGAUCAGUAGCCGGCCUGAGAGGGCGGACGGCCACACUGGGACUGAGACACGGCCCAGACUCCUACGGGAGGCAGCAGUGGGGAAUUGCUCGCAAUGGGCGCAAGCCUGACGACGCAACGCCGCGUGGAGGAUGAAGGCCUUCGGGUCGUAAACUCCUGUUGAUCGGGAAGAAUGGGCUCCGGGUAAAUAUCCCGGAGCAGUGACGGUACCGAUUGAGGAAGCCACGGCUAACUCUGUGCCAGCAGCCGCGGUAAUACGUAGGGGGCAAGCGUUGUCCGGAUUUACUGGGCGUAAAGCGCGUGUAGGUGGUACAGUAAGUCUGCUGUGAAAGCGCCCGGCUCAACUGGGCGAGGUCGGUGGAAACUGCUGAACUAGAGGACGGUAGAGGAGAGUGGAAUUCCCGGUGUAGUGGUGAAAUGCGUAGAUAUCGGGAGGAACACCAGCGGCGAAGGCGGCUCUCUGGGCCGCUCCUGACACUGAGACGCGAAGGCCAGGGGAGCGAACGGGAUUAGAUACCCCGGUAGUCC